GCAACAGUCAGAGGACAACAGAACUUCACAAAUAGUGGAAGUGAAGGCAACAGCCCAAAGAAGUUCAUCAGUACAUGGAAACGUUCAAGGCCCCUGCAUAGGUUCAAGCCUGAAGUUCCUUCCUCAGGAAAGGACCUUUGGGCAGCAAGGAAGGAAGGAAGGAAGGAAGGAAAGAAGGAAGAAAGGAAGGAGAAAAAUAAAUUAUCCAAGAACUGAAACUCACCAGAUCACCACAUCCGUGAGAUCCCGGACCCCUCAUUCAUCCUUAUUGCUUCCUUGCCCCCUCCCUAGUUUCUACUUUCUUACACAUUGUUACAUUUCUUCCCUGCUAUUUAAACCCCUAGUUUUGGCCCAUCAGGGAGAUGGAUGUAAGACUGAGCUCGAUCUCCUUGGCUGUAGCACCUAAUUAAAGCCCUCUUCCUUGGCAAUACUUGUCAUCGCAGUGAUUGGCUUACUGUGCAGUGAGCAGCAGGACCUAGGCCAAAUCCCUGGUGUUUUGGUAACAAUAUCAUCAGAAUACAGACUCUCAAAUAUUCAAAUGUGUUGUUGUUUUCUAUUUUUCACUUAUUGCCCUCUUUUUGAUCAUUUAUCUCACUUUUACUUUGUAUUUAUAAAAGGCUGGG
rnacentral:lncRNA from 10 species